rnacentral:rRNA from 1 species
UACCGGCUGCUCGAGUGAUAGCCACUUUUACUGGGCUUAAAGCGUUCGUAGCUUGGUCGUUAAGUCUCUGGGGAAAUCUUUUGGCUCAACCAAAAGGCGUCUCAGGGAAACUGGAUAGCUUGAGUACGGGAGAGGGUAGUGGAAUUUCGAGUGUAGGGGUGAAAUCCGUAGAUAUUCGAAGGAACACCGGUGGCGAAGGCGGCCACCUGGACAGGUACUGACGCUGAGGUGCGAAAGUGUGGGGAGCAAA